UGGCCUGUGACGAAACUCAGCAAUCAAAAACACCAUCUUUCGGGGCUGAUUGGCGCGAGCCAUGCUGUCACACUGCAAAGAAUUCUGAGGCCA
rfam:Zea mays cultivar B73 chromosome 7, whole genome shotgun sequence.